GCAGUGUUUCUGAUUUUGUUAUAUAGAUCUGAAAGGUUAGAGCGCCUUUGAAAUGGAUGACUUAUUGAAGAUCUGACAGUAUUUUAUCUGAUACUUGGUCUGACCAGUAUAGAAAACAUUUUCAUGUCUAUGUGCCUCACAAGGCUGCUUGGGCAUUAAUAUUGCCUUUUGAGCCUUAAGUGUGCUUAUAGAUUGGAGAAACCGUGAUGGGAACAGGACCUAGUUUUGCCUGUUUUGGUUACGGCCUCACAGGCAUAUAGCGUGUAGAAGAUUCAAAGUGACUUCCCUCAUUUCACUCCUAAGAUCUUAUAUAUAUAUAUUGGGAAGGAAUGUACUUGUUUUGUUUAUAAAUUAUGUUUUGUUUUAAGAAAGAAUAGCAUCAGGAGAGUGGGCAAAGGCAAUAAAAUCCAAGGUUUU
rnacentral:lncRNA from 1 species